rnacentral:rRNA from 1 species
AUUGAACGCUGGCGGCAUGCCUUACACAUGCAAGUCGAACGGUAACGCGGGGCAACCUGGCGACGAGUGGCGAACGGGUGAGUAAUAUAUCGGAACGUGCCCAAUAGUGGGGGAUAGCCCGGCGAAAGCCGGAUUAAUACCGCAUACGACCUGAGGGUGAAAGCGGGGGAUCGCAAGACCUCGCGCUAUUGGAGCGGCCGAUAUCAGAUUAGGUAGUUGGUGGGGUAAAGGCCUACCAAGCCUACGAUCUGUAGCUGGUCUGAGAGGACGACCAGCCACACUGGGACUGAGACACGGCCCAGACUCCUACGGGAGGCAGCAGUGGGGAAUCUUGGACAAUGGGCGCAAGCCUGAUCCAGCCAUGCCGCGUGAGUGAAGAAGGCCUUCGGUUGU